rnacentral:lncRNA from 1 species
CUAAUAAUUUGGACAUUUGUGAUAGUGUGGCUUUCUACUUCACCAUAAGGCGUGGUCGCAGUACACGUGUAAUUUCCUCCAGCAUCUGGUCUAGCAUAAACUUGGAGGGUCCGUCCCUGUUUUAUUUUCCGUAUUGUACGGCCAUCUAUAAUCUCCACGCCGUCUUUAUACCAGGUAAUUGUUGGACAGUAUGGGUGGGAGUAAAAACAACAGUCAAGUUCGAAACGUUCACCGCCAUCAAAAUCGGAAUACGAAUCCGUCGCAUCGAUGAUCUCCAAAGCCCCUUCAUC